rnacentral:misc_RNA from 1 species
UCAACCAUCAAGCCCGGCUUGUUAUUGGGCUCUUAUCGUUAAACCGAUAGGUCCGAAAGAUAAUGGCGGUGUCGAGAUGUGACCCCAGGUGCAGCGAGCUUUGUAAGCAUACACUGAGGUGGUUCUCUCGGCCUGGCCUUGAAAACAAAAUUUUCUAA